rnacentral:rRNA from 1 species
ACAUGCCUACAACAUAGCAUUAAUGCACCGAAUCCCAUUAUAAAUCCACAUUUAAGUGCGCUCAAGCUAGAGUAGUACUAGGAUGGGUGACUGCCCAGGAAGUCCUACUGUUUUACAUGCC